UACGUAGGGCGCAAGCGUUAUCCGGAAUUAUUGGGCGUAAAGAGCUCGUAGGCGGUUUGUCGCGUCGACUGUGAAAACCCGAGGCUUAACCUCGGGCCUGCAGUCGAUACGGGCAGACUAGAGUUCGGUAGGGGAGACUGGAAUUCCUGGUGUAGCGGUGAAAUGCGUAGAUAUCUGGAGGAACACCGGUGGCGAAGGCGGCAUCCUGGACCAACACUGACGCUGAGUGAGCGAAAGCCAGGGGAGCAAACGGG
rnacentral:rRNA from 1 species